GGAGUUAGCCGGUGCUUCUUCUGCGAGUAACGUCACAGAUGUAAGGUAUUAACUUACACCCUUUCCUCCUCGCUGAAAGUGCUUUACAACCCGAAGGCCUUCUUCACACACGCGGCAUGGCUGCAUCAGGGUUUCCCCCAUUGUGCAAUAUUCCCCACUGCUGCCUCCCGUAGGAGUCUGGGCCGUGUCUCAGUCCCAGUGUGGCUGAUCAUCCUCUCAGACCAGCUAGGGAUCGUCGCCUAGGUGAGCCUUUACCUCACCUACUAGCUAAUCCCACCUGGGCUUAUCCAUCAGCGCAAGGCCCGAAGGUCCCCUGCUUUCCCCCGUAGGGCGUAUGCGGUAUUAGCAGUCGUUUCCAACUGUUAUCCCCCACAAAUGGGCAAAUUCCCAGGCAUUACUCACCCGUCCGCCGCUCGUCAUCUUCAAAAGCAAGCUUUUGAAAUGUUACCGCUCGACUUGCAUGUGUUAGUCCUGCCGCCAGCGUUCAAUCUGAGCCAGGAUCAAACUCUGA
rnacentral:rRNA from 1 species